CUGAAUGUUCAGGUUUCCACCCUCAUCAAAAACCUGAUGGACUUUGAGUGGCAUCUCAUUCAGUAAGUGCCACUUGGACUCUUGAAAACCAUUAAUAGUUCACAUUUUAAAACCCUGUUAA